rnacentral:rRNA from 1 species
UACGUCGGGUGCGAGCGUUGUCCGGAAUUAUUGGGCGUAAAGAGCUCGUAGGCGGUCUGUCGCGUCGGUCGUGAAAACUUGGGGCUUAACCCUGAGCUUGCGGUCGAUACGGGCAUGACUGGAGUUCGGUAGGGGAGACUGGAAUUCCUGGUGUAGCGGUGAAAUGCGCAGAUAUCAGGAGGAACACCGGUGGCGAAGGCGGGUCUCUGGGCCGAUACUGACGCUGAGGAGCGAAAGCGUGGGGAGCGAACAGG